GUGCUCACUUCGGCAGCACAUCCACUAAAAUUGGAACAAUACAGAUAUCAGCAUGGCCCCUGUGCAAGGAUGACACACAAAUUCGUGAAGCAUUCCAUAUUUUU